CUUUUUGGCCAUGUGAGGACACAGAGAAAGCACCAUCUGUGAGAAACAGGGCCUCCACUAUAUACUGAACUUGCCACCACCUUGACCUGGGACUUCCCAGUUUCCAGAACUGUGAGAAAUAAAUUUUUUAUGAUUUACCCAGUCUAAGAUAUUUUGUGACAGCAGCAGGAAUGGACUAACAUACUGGGUCUAGCAAAGAGUUCUCAAGAGAUGGGGCCUGGAUGUGUUGCUUAGGCUGUGUGAAACACCUGGUCUUAAGCGAUCCUCUCACCCUGGCCUCCCAAAGCAUUGGGAUUACAGGGAGAAAAGAAUGGGAACUGUGAGGAAAAGAAUGACAUGAACAAUGGGAAGACCAAGGUCCCAGCACAAGUAGUAGAUGCUGAGGAAAGAAGAAGUAUGUUGUGGAGUAAGUGAGUGGGCCUGAGUUGAGAAGAUCCUGGCCUUGGAUUUUAAAACUGUCAGGAAUUGCAUAAAUUCGCUAGAAUCAGAAGUCAGUUGUCCUGAUCUCAGAACAAUUUGGUGUGUACAAAGUCCAAGGUUUGAAAACUCAUCAAGAAGUCAGCAUCCUGCAAGAAUCAGCCACCCAUGCCACACUUUCUAUAGUAACUUCUGUUCUGCAUCAGACUACAUCACUCUGGCUUUCUGGGAUCACUUUUAUAAUACAAAGAAUGACUGCAAUAUAAGCUUUGAAAGACUGACUCACUAAGGAAACAAGACAGGUUUGGAAAAAUGGAUCCCUUGCCAUUGACGCACUCUGGAGAACUCUUUAAAAAAUGGUAAUCUGAGAAAUUUAAUUGCCACGUAACUGUUCACAUAAAACUGAUACUAUCAGUAAGUGGACCAAAUUAAAUAUUCUGUGAAAACGUUGCAUUUCACAACCAGGUGUUUUGAUUUUUUGAAAUGAAAGAAAAAAAAAGGAAGUCAGCUUUUAGCUAUGUGGUGCAGUUGAUCUUCUCUGGAAAGUUAUUCUGCAGAUCUACCAAAUGAAUUAAAGAUGAGAAGACAAAUGUAGGAGAUAAAAAGGCAAAGAAGAGAUGUUUAUCUGCUGUGUACCACUUUUGUGAUGGUGGAUCCCUUCAUCUUUCUGUGCCUCAUUUUUUUCUUAUUUCUACAUAGAGGGCACUAUUCCAGGCCAGUGCUCUGGGAGGAAUUACCCAGAAUCCCUGUAGAAGCCACUACUGAUGUCAGCUACAAGAGGAAGGGAACCCAAGUGGACUUCAGCCAGAACAAAGCUCUGUCACAUGUUGGAAUUUUACUGAACUUGAACAAAUUAUUCUUCAGAAAAAGUAUUUUAAAGUCAAAAGACUCCUAGAUGAUUUCUAGGUCUUUUGCAGCAUUAACUUCCUUUGAAUCAAUG
rnacentral:lncRNA from 1 species